rnacentral:rRNA from 1 species
CCUACGGGUGGCAGCAGUGGGGAAUAUUGCACAAUGGGGGAAACCCUGAUGCAGCAACGCCGCGUGAGUGAUGAUGGCCUUCGGGUUGUAAAGCUCUGUCUUCAGGGACGAUAAUGACGGUACCUGAGGACUCAGCCACGGCUAACUACGUGCCAGCAGCCGCGGUACUACGUAGGUGGAGAGCGUUGUCCGGAUUUACUGGGCGUAAAGGGAGCGGAGGCGGACUUUUAAGUGAGAUGUGAAAUACUUGGGCUCAACUUGAGUGCUGCAUUUCAAACUGGAAGUCUAGAGUGCAGGAGAGGAGAAUGGAAUUCCUGGUGUAGCGGUGAAAGGCGUAGAGAUUAGGAAGAACACCAGUGGCGAAGGCGAUUCUCUGGACUGUAACUGACGCUGAGGCUCGAAAGCGUGGGGAGCGAACAGGAUUAGAUACCCUGGUAGUC